rnacentral:lncRNA from 1 species
AACUACAUUAUCUUUUUCUGUCAGCUUAUAAAGGAAAACACACACACACAAACGACAAUGAGAUCUUUCUCAGGUGCAGGAAGUUCUGCCAGGUGAUCAGGUCUGAUUUAAGCCAUUUUUGACAUAACAGUUCAUAAUGACCUUUAAUUUGAUGGGCCCUAUGUAAAGCUUUGUGGAAUUCCUUAAGAUUAACAAACCUCAGGACAUACAGAACAUAACAGGGGAUGUGACCAGCAUGACCCUUCUCUGAGUCAAACUAUUUUUCUAUGUCAAAGGCUGGUAGGCAUAUUACAGCAACAAUAUGAAAUAGCUGGCAAGCAUGGAACAAAAUGGCCGCAACUAUGCUAGUGGGUCAGGAGGACACACCGCUUGGUUUGUCUCUUCAGAGUUAAAUCUGACUAAGGAUGCUCUGAGAGGCAUGCAAGACUCACUGGCAUUGGGAGUAUGCAAACCUAACUAGACAGAGAAUAAGAAGGGACAGGAAUGAGCAAUGGGGGAGCGGGGUGGGGGAGGGGGAGCACCAGACGAGAAUCUCGGAGACUGAGCAGACCACAUGACAUGAGAGACGUGGCCGUACUCUGGAAUGACUGACUUCUUUCUUCUGCUUUGCUAGCGCAGAGACAACAGGCUUCAGCAGAAGGUAUGGCCCAGAUGUGUGUACCACCAUGCCUGGAUUUGGAGCUCACAGUCCCAAGCUGGCCUUGAAAUCAGAUCUCCUUGCCUCAGUCUCCUGGGAUUAAAGCAACUCCUGUCUGGGCCUAAGCUUUGCAUGGUCACUGUGCCUCAAGAUCUGAAUCAAAAGUGUGUGUCAUCUCCUGUCAGAGCUUGUGCCAU